AACGUAGGAGACAAACGUUAUCCGGAGUUACUGGGCGUAAAGGGCGUGUAGGUGGUUUCGUAAGUCUGGCGUGAAAUUUCUCGGCUUAACCGAGGCAGGUCGUCGGAUACUGCGGAACUUGAGGACGGUAGAGGCGUGUGGAAUUCCGGGUGUAGUGGUGAAAUGCGUAGAGAUCCGGAGGAACACCAGUGGCGAAGGCGACACGCUGGCCGUACCUGACACUGAUGCGCGACAGCAUGGGGAGCAACAGG
rnacentral:rRNA from 1 species